rnacentral:rRNA from 1 species
AUUGCACGCUAGCGGGAUGCCUUACACAUGCAAGUCGAACGGAGUGGCGAACGGGCGAGUAAUGUAUCGGCACGUGCCCAGUAGCGGGGGAUAACUACGCGAAAGCGUAGCUAAUACCGCAUACUAUUGGAGCGGCCGCACUCGGAUUAGCUCGUUGGUGGGGUAACGGCUAACCAAGGCGACGCGCCGUAGCUGGUUUGUGAGGACGACAAGCCACACUGGGACGGAGAAACGGCCCAGACUCCGACGGGAGGCAGCAGUGGGGAAUGUUGGACAAGGGGGGAAACCCUGAUCCAGCCAUCCCGAGUGUGCGAUGAAGGCCUGCGGGUUUUAAAGCACUUUUGGCAGGAAAGCGGUACCUGCAGAAUAAGCACCGGCUAACUACGUGCCAGCAGCCGCGGUAAUAC